CAGUUUUAGGGGGAGGAGGAACAGAGACGUGAACACUGCUAAAUUUGGACACUCUACUUAGAAUGUUGCCACUUUAGGAAGAAAAACAUAACUUGCUGAGAGCCAGAUCUCCAAGGAAUGGAAUCGUCAUUCCAGAUACCAGAUGUAUCGUCAGUCCUGCAGCCUGAGAAAUCUAAGAUGAUGGAGUUAACAGUACAGCAAGGACCUUCUCACUGCAUCGCCCAAGGGCAGAAGACAGAAGGAAAAGAGAGAGCGAGAGGGGA